UCAUUGUAGCUGUGGUCUGUUUUGACUUGUGGAAGAAGAGAAACACAGGUGUAAAAAAAGGGCCCUAUGCUCCAGCUGCCUGUAAUGACAGUGCCCAGGGCUCUGAUGUGUCUCUCACUGCUGAGAAAGUGUGAGACAGCUGCCUUCUGUGGGACUGAGCAACACAGGAUUUCUUUAGUUCAUUCCUGCUCCCUACUGAGAUUUCAAGAGGUUCUAACUUCUCUGUGUAGCUGGCAUCUAACUGUGUCUAUGUGUCUGUGUUCCUAUCAUCAUCACUGAGGAAAUGCAGAGAAGAGCACAUCCCUGACCACCAAGAUCCCUCCCCACACUGUCCUGUUCUCUUCCUCAAUCAACUUUCCUAUGUAGCAGAUGUGGGGCUGGGAUGUCUCCA